rnacentral:antisense_RNA from 1 species
AGCAAAGAAAACUUAAAUAAGGAUCUCUAAUUCUUUUGGGGUAAUUUUUCUUACAUCUCCCCAUCCCAGAGCUCAGGUAUAGUAUAUGCAUCCAAUAUAAAGAGCCUUAAAUACUAGAAGAGAAGCAUCCAUUCCUACUCAAAAUUAUAGUCAUACUAUUUUU